GAUUAACGCUGGCGGCGUGCCUAACACAUGCAAGUCGAACGAGGUAGCAAUACCUAGUGGCAGACGGGUGAGUAACGCGUGGUCAACCUACCCUAGAGUGGGGGAUAACUAGCCGAAAGGUUAGCUAAUACCGCAUGAAACGUGCCGGGGCGAUCUCGGAAUGUUGAAAGGAAGCAAUCCGCUCAAGGACGGGACCGCGUCCCAUUAGCUAGUUGGUGGGGUAACGGCCUACCAAGGCACCGAGGGUAGCUGGUUUUGAGAGAGCGACCAGCCACACUGGGACUGAGAAACGGCCCAGACUCCUACGGGAGGCAGCAGUGAGGG
rnacentral:rRNA from 1 species